rnacentral:rRNA from 1 species
UGGGGAAUUUUGGACAAUGGGGGAAACCCUGAUCCAGCCAUCCCGCGUGUGCGAUGAAGGCCUUCGGGUUGUAAAGCACUUUUGGCAGGAAAGAAACGUCAUGGGUUAAUACCCCGUGAAACUGACGGUACCUGUAGAAUAAGCACCGGCUAACUACGUGCCAGCAGCCGCGGUAAGACGUAGGGUGCAAGCGUUAAUCGGAAUUACUGGGCGUAAAGCGUGCGCAGGCGGUUCGGAAAGAAAGAUGUGAAAUCCCAGAGCUCAACUUUGGAACUGCAUUUUUAACUACCGUGCUAGAGUGUGUCAGAGGAAGGUGGAAUUCCGCGUUUAGCAGGAAAAUGCGUAGAUAUGCGGGGAAACACCGAUGGCGAAGGCAGCCUCCUGGGAUAACACUGACGCUCAUGCACGAAAGCGUGGGGAGCAAACAGG